rnacentral:rRNA from 1 species
UUCCUACGGGAGGCAGCAGUGGGGAAUAUUGGGCAAUGGGCGCAAGCCUGACCCAGCAACGCCGCGUGAAGGAAGAAGGCUUUCGGGUUGUAAACUUCUUUUCUCAGGGACGAAGCAAGUGACGGUACCUGAGGAAUAAGCCACAGCUAACUACGUGCCAGCAGCCGCGGUAAUACGGAGGAUGCGAGCGUUAUCCGGAUUUAUUGGGUUUAAAGGGUGCGUAGGCGGGCUGUUAAGUCAGCGGUAAAAGCCCGGGGCUCACCCCCGGCGAGCCGUUGAAACUGGCUGUCUUGAGAUGUCGAGAG